rnacentral:rRNA from 1 species
GAUGAACGCUGGCGGCGUGCCUAAUACAUGCAAGUCGAGCGAACGGACGAGAAGCUUGCUUCUCUGAUGUUAGCGGCGGACGGGUGAGUAACACGUGGAUAACCUACCUAUAAUACUGGGAUAACUUCGGGAAACCGUAGCUAAUACCGGAUAAUAUUUUGAACCGCAUGGUUCAAAAGUGAAAGACGGUCUUGCUGUCACUUAUAGAUGGAUCCGCGCUGCAUUAGCUAGUUGGUAAGGUAACGGCUUACCAAGGCAACGAUGCAUAGCCGACCUGAGAGGGUGAUAGGCCACACUGGAACUGAGACACGGUCCAGACUCCUACGGGAGGCAGCAGUAGGGAAUCUUCCGCAAUGGGCGAAAGCCUGACGGAGCAACGCCGCGUGAGUGAUGAAGGUCUUCGGAUCGUAAAACUCUGUUAUUAGGGAAGAACAUAUGUGUAAGUAACUGUGCACAUCUUGACGGUACCUAAUAAGAAAGCCACGGCUAACUACGUG